AUGUUGCCUGAACGCCUCCCCUGGGACACGCCACCCGGCCAGGCACCCCCAGCCGGGCGACGACCCCUGAGGGGCUGCCGGCUCCCCUCAGCUCCCCUCAGCCCUCCCGCGCCCCACGGCGGCCGCCACCUCAGCGCCUCCUCGGGGCUCUCCCACCCCGGGCGCCCCCUUCCCCGGGGCGGGAGGGCUCCGAGGGCCCCUCCGCCGCCUCAGGCGUGUCCCGCUCCGCCUCCCCCACACCCUCCCCUCCGCCGCGGGCCGCGGUUGCGCAGGGCGGCGGGGCGCCGGCGGCCCCUUGGCGGGCAGGGCGGCAGCGCGGAGCCCCGGCAGGCGGCGGCGGGCCAUGUUGGCGCUGCUGCUGGCCUGAAGCCCGGCGGAGGGGCGCGUCGCGUCGAGGGGAGUGAGCGGGGAGGAGGAGGAGGAGGAGGAGGAGGAGGAGAAAGGAGAAGGAGGAGAAGGAGGAGGAGGAGGAGGAGGAGGAGGAGGAGGAAGGGGAGGGGGGAUCUUCUCGGCGAGGAUGCCCGGAGCGGCUGCAGGGACGGCGGCGACGGGAGCGGGCUCGGCAGGAGCGGCAGCAGCGGGGAUGCUCCCGGCUCAGGAGGCGGCCAAGAUCUACCACACCAACUACGUGCGGAACUCGCGGGCCAUCGGCGUGCUCUGGGCCAUCUUCACCAUCUGCUUUGCCAUCGUCAACGUGGUGUGCUUCAUCCAGCCCUACUGGAUCGGGGACGGCGUGGACACCCCGCAGGCGGGCUACUUCGGGCUCUUCCACUACUGCAUCGGCAACGGCUUCAGCCGGGAACUCACCUGCCGGGGCAGCUUCACGGACUUCUCCAGCCUGCCCUCGGGAGCCUUCAAAGCUGCCUCCUUCUUCAUCGGGCUCUCGAUGAUGCUCAUCAUCGCCUGCAUCGUCUGCUUCAUCCUCUUCUUCUUCUGCAACACGGCCACCGUCUACAAGAUCUGCGCCUGGAUGCAGCUCACCUCGGGAGGUUUUCCACCAUUUUCUGAGGACAGCUUGCACAGAGGAAGAGGAGAAGAUCCAAGAAGCAACAGGGAAACCCAUUAGCAACCUAGCCAGGCACUGCCACCAGCCCAUGCCUGCUGGAGGUGAGCUGGGGCACCCACCUGCAGCCAAGGGUUGAGGCAGAGCUGUCCUUUUUCCUGGAAGGAGACCAGCCUGGUGAGCAUAUGACUUUUUUCUGCUCAGUGGCAUUUUGCUUUGGCAUCUCAGGUGUGUAAAUGCAAACAUAAGAAAUGCUGUGCUAGGACAGAAAGUGGUCCAUGUCAUUCCAUACUGCGCUUUGAGCUGUGGCAAAAAGAUCUGGGGAGAGCACAUGAGUCUGGCCAUCUUCUCCAGCCACUGCCAAGUAUUCCUCCAUCAUCCCUGCCUACUCCCCUUCCCUAUCCAACUCUUCAGGCUGGCGCCAUUUCCAGAAGGUCUUGUGAUAAAUUCCUUUAGCUAACUUUUGUUUAAAUAUCCGAGAUACCUGAUUACAUGAUUUUUUAACACAGGUGGCUCUAUCUGAUCCAAGGUAUGCAUUCAAUCUUUAGCAUUACCAAACUUUGCCAACCAAGAAAGCAUUUGUGAGCAGUCUGAAAUAAUCUACUGACUAGAGGAAAGAGCUGUUCUCUGCCUUGUUUCUUUCCUCAUAACUGCAUUCAUGGAGCAGCCCACCUGUGCAAGAACGUUUAAAGAAAAAAUGAAAGGAGAUAAAUCCUAUAAAUUAAUCAGGGGCCUUUUUUAAUUAUUAAAAUACUCUAUAUUUUCAAUUAAUUUUUUACAAUUAUUUGAGAAGGACAGAGCAUUGAAAUUAGGAAUGCAUUUAAAAUAAGACAUAAUUUUUAAUUUAUAUAUUAAUUUACAAGCUCUGUGAUAUUGAAG
rnacentral:lncRNA from 1 species